rnacentral:lncRNA from 1 species
GUAUGUAUGUAUGUAUGUAUGUAUGUACAGUAUGUAUGUAUGUAUGUAUGUAUGUAUGUAUGUACAGUAUGUAUGUACAGUAUGUAUGUAUGUAUGUAUGUACAGUAUGUAUGUAUGUGCAGUAUGUAUGUAUGUAUGUAUGUAUGUACAGUAUGUAUGUACAGUAUGUAUGUAUGUAUGUAUGUAUAUAUGUAUGUAUGUACAGUAUGUAUGUAUGUAUGUAUGUAUGUAUGUAUGUAUGUAUGUAUGUACAGUAUGUAUGUAUGUAUGUACAGUAUGUAUGUAUGUAUGUAUGUAUGUAUGUACAGUAUGUAUGUAUGUAUGUAUGUAUGUAUGUAUGUAUGUAUGUAUGUAUGUACAGUAUGUAUGUACAGUAUUAUGUAUGUAUGUAUGUAUGUAUGUAUGUAUGUAUGUAUGUAUGUAUGUAUGUACAGUAUGUAUGUAUGUGCAGUAUGUAUGUAUGUAUGUAUGUAUGUAUGUAUGUAUGUAUGUAUGUAUGUACAGUAUGUAUGUACAGUAUGUAUGUAUGUAUGUAUGUAUGUAUGUAUGUAUGUACAGUAUGUAUGUACAGUAUGUAUGUACAGUAUGUACAUAUGUAUGUAUGUAUGUAUGUAUGUAUGUAUGUACAGUAUGUAUGAUAGAGAGAAUAUAUGUCUUUAGCUGACUAUAUGUAAUUAAUCUAAUUUAAAGUUUUCUUUUAAUCAGAUUUGCUGUGGCUUUAAAUGAUCAAAUGAACAUCAUAUGUUUUGGAUAAUAUUUAUUUUACGAGAUGGAAUUGCACUAAGUAUUUUGACACUAACUAUUUCAACUACAAUCACAUUUAUUAAUUAUUAUUAUUAUUAUUUUUUUGUUUGUUGUGGAAACAGGUUGUUGACCCACAAGUUUUUUUUGUUACUUAAUCUCCAUUCCAGAAUGUUGACCAUUUAAUUGUAUUAUCGUGAUGAUGGUGAUCUUUGUAAAUUCCCCCUGAUAUGAAUAACUUUAUGGUUAAAAUAAAGAUAUUGCCACCUUAGCUGUAAACCCAUUAAAUACACACAUUGGAUACAUUCUAUAAACUGAAAAUAUAGAUGCUUCUUAUUUAACAUCAGUGAAAGGUUCUUAUAGCACCAUUUUCCAUUUAUUCACUGCACAAGACUGAACACCAGCGAGUCCAAGAGGUACAAAUCUGUUGUUCUGCCCCUGAACAAGGCAGUUAACCCACUGUUCCUAGGCCGUCAUUGUAAAUAAGAAUUUGUUCUUAACUGACUUGCCUAGUUAAAUAAAGGUUAAAUAAAAUGUACUGAUA